rnacentral:lncRNA from 1 species
UAUAUUUUUGUAAAAUUAUAAUCUUAAUAAGUCUUCUUGAUAGCAUCUCUAAUAUCUUCUUGUAGACUUCUUAUCAUUCCCCAACUGGACUAAAAGAGAAACUAAACACAUUUCCAAAGACUUUUCUUUCUCUCUCUCUCUCUCACUCACUCCCCUUCUCUUGCUAUCUCUUUCCCCCCUCAUCCUCUUUCUCUCUCUCUCUCUCUCUCUCUCUCUCUCUCUGUUUUUCUCUCCCAAUCUCUCUUCCACACACACACGCUCUCUCCCUCUCGUUUUCUCUCUCUUCUCUUUCUCUCUCUCUCUCUCAGCCAUACUUACUUGUAUGAUUCUUCACAUACACCUCAACCUGUACAACAUAACUAAUGUUGCUUUCAUCACCUAUCAGUGUUAAUUUUGCUCGUGUCCGUGCAGUGAAAUCGUCUUUUUAAACAAUGGUUCUCUACCCUUUCCUCUUCAUUUUGUUUUUAUAAAUCAUGAAAUGUUGUAACCUGAAAACCCUCAUCAUCCUGGAGUAGACAAAAAAAAAAGAAGUAUUUAUAUAUAAAAAAAAAAAACAUAAAAAAGGAAAAGUGAAAAAUUACCAAAAAGGCUAAAAAAAAAUAUUUAUUACAUUUGAGACUUCUACAGACUUGCUUUUGAAAAGUUUCUACAACAUUUUAAGAAAGUGACUUCAGAGAUUUGCCAGUAUCAUGAGCAAAUCUUCUUCAGUUAUGCUUAAGUAAUCAAGAUUCUUGUUCAAAUACGGUCGGUUAGUUUUUUUAGUAACAAAAGCAUUGAAUUGCACUUCAUAUACGAAGCUAAAGGGAAAAUGAAUGAAAGGCAAAGAAAAGCUCCUGCAGAGUUAUUAUUAGUGAACAGCCAAAAUUAUCCGCAUGAUUAGAUUAAGCUAUGAAAGAAAUUCCUAUAUUUUUGCCUUCAUCUGAAUCUUACAGUAUGGGAAAUUCUUUAAAGGUAAG